AGAGUUUGAUCCUGGCUCAGAACGAACGCUGGCGGCGUGCUUAACACAUGCAAGUCGUGCGUGAAAGGGGCUUCGGCCCUGAGUAAAGCGGCAGACGGGUGAGUAACACGUGGGUAACCUGCCCCUUGGCGGGGGAUAACCACUCGAAAGGGUGGCUAAUACCGCAUAAGACCACGUCCCUGUGGGGAUGAGGUAAAAGGCUUCGGCCUCCGAGGGAGGGGCCCGCGUCCGAUUAGCUAGUUGGUGGGGUAAUGGCUCACCAAGGCGACGAUCGGUAGCUGGUCUGAGAGGAUGAUCAGCCACACUGGAACUGGAACACGGUCCAGACUCCUACGGGAGGCAGCAGUGAGGAAUUUUGCGCAAUGGGGGAAACCCUGACGCAGCAACGCCGCGUGAGUGAAGAAGGCUUUCGGGUCGUAAAGCUCUGUCAAGAGGGAAGAAAGUGGAAGGUGGUAAUACUGUUUUCUAUUGACGGUACCUCUGAAGGAAGCACCGGCUAACUCCGUGCCAGCAGCCGCGGUAAUACGGGGGGUGCAAGCGUUAUUCGGAUUUAUUGGGCGUAAAGAGCGCGUAGGCGGUUUAUCAAGUCAGAUGUGAAAGCCCUGGGCUCAACCUGGGAAGUGCAUUUGAAACUAGUAGACUUGAGUAUGGGAGAGGGGAGUGGAAUUCCUGGUGUAGAGGUGAAAUUCGUAGAUAUCAGGAGGAACACCGGUGGCGAAGGCGACUUCCUGGACCAAUACUGACGCUGAGGCGCGAAGGCGUGGGGAGCAAACAGGAUUAGAUACCCUGGUAGUCC
rnacentral:rRNA from 1 species